rnacentral:sRNA from 13 species
AUCAUAAGCAAUACUUUAUUUUUCCAUAUUUAAUAUAUCAUGAGAAAAUAAUUUUA